rnacentral:tRNA from 1 species
AGAAAGAUGCCUGAAAAAGGAUUAUUUUGAUGUAAUAAAUUAUGUUUAGUAAAACUCUUUCUA